CUCUUGACCUCCCAGCUCAAACGAUCCUCCCACCUCAGCCUUCUGAGUAGCUGGAACUACAGGUGAGCUCCAACACACCUGGCCAAUUGUUACAAAGUUUUAAAGAAAGAACAGGCCAGGCGUGGUGGGGCCGCUGGGGUUUGGGAGCCAGGCUUUGCACCCCUCCUCAGGCAUGAAUUCUUCUCUUGAGAACGGUUUAGA
rnacentral:lncRNA from 1 species